CGGGAUCGGGAUCGGGAUCGGGAUCGGGAUCGGGAUCGGGAUCGGGAUCGGGAUCGGGAUCGGGGCCGCGCUCCCAGCUCGGUGGCGGUGCGGCCGCGGGGAGCCGGGCCCGCGGGCUCCUCAGGGAGGCUCCGGCUGCGGCCGGGGCGCCGUGCCCCGCUCGCAGUGCCGCCCUGGGUUAGCCCGGGGUGUGUUGCGGGCGCUGAGUCAGUUACUCCAGGGCGAGAGGUUUGCUUAAUGUUUCCAGCUCUGCUGGUUUUGCAACCGAGAGGGGCCGGAGUUUGUUGUUCUUAAACUUAGAUUUGGGUAUUACAUAACUCGGGGCUGGAGCGCUGAGCACGUGCGCGGGCCUCAAUUCCUUUUGCCCAAGGAUAUGUCAGCCUAGUUGGUGAGGAGUCCAGAAGGCAACUGCUCCCUGUAACCAGAAAAUGUUUUACGGCACACAGCUCCUAAUGUCGUGUUUGUCCAUGCCAAAGGGGCAGAUUUUGCCUUCUAGAUGUACAGAAAAUGGUGGGAUAACAAGUAGAGGAAAACAGACAGGAAGGCUUGACAAGGGUUAAGCAGCAGCAAUGAAAAGCUCACUGGGAUUACAAGCGUGCAGAUGAGCAGCAGAAGGAGAAUUGUUUAGUUGUGAGAAGGCAGAAAUCGAGGAGAGCAGGCGUGUGGGAGAGGAAGUUGCCUUGAUCACAGGAUUUCCGUCACUCUGCACUGCAAGAGCAUGCAUGGGUGGAGCAAGCAGUGAAGCACAUCCCUGGCCUACAGAAGUUACGGAAGAUGCUUUGCACCAGCCUUUUAGUUAUCAGAAAUAUUAUUUCAAGUUCUGUAAAAAUAAAUAUAAUGAUAUUAA